UACCACCUGUUGCACGUUUGUUUUUGUUUAUUGUUUAUAUUUUUUUGUUUUUUCCUUUUUUUUCUUUCGAAGGUGCGUUGCUAUGGUGAAGGGGUUUGUUUAGUGAGAUUUUGGGCUUCCUUUGUGGCUUUCUCUGGAAAGUGUGUUUAUUAAGGCGUAUGAGGAGUGUUGUCAUCAUUGGUUGGCUUAAAAGGAGCUAAGAUUCUGCUGAAUAAAAUUUUUAUGUUAAAAGACUUAUAAUCUGGAAAAAAGGUGAUAUUUCAGGUGUCCAUCAGAGUUUGCCAGCAAAGAAAGUCCAGGGCAGCGGACUUUUUCAAAAGGUCAAAGAUCACUCUUCCUUUAAAAAAAUUCCCCCUCGAAACCUCGAUGAACUAACAUGCUUACUCCAAGAGCACAGAGCUACACGAUGUUGGUGGGUGUAUCAAAAAAGGCAUACUACCCGAAGCUGCAAUAAGCGUCCUCGAGAAAUGCAGCUAGAACAAACCACAGUGCCCCUCGUGGAGACCGUACAGUGGAACCAUUACCACAGGAUCUCUUUUAAUGACAUUCCUGUUGUUGAGUCGAAAUUCAGUACAAGAGUUACUACCAAAAUAGUGAUUCUACAAGAAAAUUACGCACGAAAACCAGAUCGAUUUGUGUACUGUAAUCGGUAAGCCGGUUUGUUGUGCUCGUCCAGUAAGUUCAAAUGAAAAUAUUGCGCCUGUAGCUCAAACUGUGCUCGAACAGCCAACACCUCGCACACUUCUUGGCACAGUAUUUUUCAAAAAUACCUCGAAAUGACGACUUUGAAGCGUAAUUGGUCCAAGAAUUAAAGCGCCAAGACCAGCCGAAGUGCUUCCACUUCGCUCAAUAGGCUGACGGUAGUGGAAGUUCAGUAUUAUUUUACCGAAGAAUCAAAUUUUCCCCCUCAGCGACCCUAUUCGACCCUAUUCCAUAUUCAGUGGAAACGGUGGAGAGCCGAAAGCUCGAAAUGUUUGGUGUACCAUUCAGUGGUGAUUUAUGACUUGAGAUGGGGAAUUGAAGUCGCCAUUGUGGCCUUAGAGGACCAAAGGUGGACAGACGGAACGAACCGAUCCAGUAGCGGCAACCAAAUUAACUGCUGAUCCAUCAUUACCAACCAUGUUGAAGUAGCGAAAUUAUUGAGAAAUAAAUUUCUAUCCUUUUUUUUAAUAAUUUUGAAAUUAAAUUAAAUCCGUUACAAUUCCAAAAUAUU